rnacentral:rRNA from 1 species
GACGAACGCUGGCGGCGUGCCUAAUACAUGCAAGUCGAACGAGAGCGACCGGUGCUUGCACUGGUCAAUCUAGUGGCGAACGGGUGAGUAACACGUGGGUAACCUGCCCAUCAGAGGGGGAUAACAUCCGGAAACGGAUGCUAAAACCGCAUAGGUCUUCGAGCCGCAUGGCUUGAAGAGGAAAAGAGGCGCAAGCUUCUGCUGAUGGAUGGACCCGCGGUGCAUUAGCUAGUUGGUGAGGUAACGGCUCACCAAGGCCGUGAUGCAUAGCCGACCUGAGAGGGUGAUCGGCCACAUGGGGACUGAGACACGGCACAAACUCCUACGGGAGGCAGCAGUAGGGAAUCUUCCGCAAUGGACGCAAGUCUGACGAAGCAACGCCGCGUGAGUGAAGAAGGUUUUCGGAUCGUAAAACUCUGUUGUUAGAGAAGAACAAGUGCUAGAGUAACUGUUAGCGCCUUGACGGUAUCUAACCAGAAAGCCACGGCUAACUACGUG